rnacentral:lncRNA from 1 species
AUGGUGUGCACAGGUGUGCUGAAAGCUGUGCUCCUUCUCUCUUUACUCUCUUUAAGUAUUGGGACGAAUGUUGAAAUACCUGCUCUGCAGGUUAUCGUUGAUAAGAUACGUGAGCAUGGGGAUGCAGUCUUUGCUACAGGAAGAGAUAAUGGUCCCAGCAUCCAGCAGUAUUCUGUUGCAGUCAAGGUCACAAAAAACGAGUGUCUUACAGCAGGUCUUACAAGCCCUGUUGAACAUGAAUUAAACUCACCUGAAUUCGCUGAAACUAAGACUAGUGCACUCAUGUUUAAAAAAGAUCACGUUAUCGCUGCCACAUUUUUAGCUUAUGAUCACGCUGAGUAUCGGCUGUUAAUGGAAGAGAACCAGGCGGUUUUGAGAAAUCUGAACGAUAAUGACUGUGUGAUUUUCUAUACCUACAACUCCCCCUGUCUGAAAACCUGCCUGAACCAGGAGAAACAUGAAGCACAAAAAAUAAGGUUUGAGAGAAAACUGAAAAAAGACCCAAAUGCAGUUCCAGAAACUCAGAGAUAUCUAAUUCCUCAUCUUAAAGGUCUGAAAGAUCACAACGGACUGAAGGCGUUUGUUUUCACACAUAUCUACGAGAGACUUGAAGAAGUGGAAGCGGAACUGAGAGCUGAAUUCAAGGUUUUAGAUGAAAAUGUCCCGCUUCACACUGCGGUCAAGCCAGCCCCCACUUCAAAACGCUUGGUCAAACUAGCCCCCACGCUGUUUCUCAGAGCG